rnacentral:tRNA from 1 species
UGGGCUGUGGCUCAGUGUUUGUUAAAGCCUUUGCCUGGCAUGCAGGAAGCCCUGAGUUCAAUUCCCAGCACCAUAA